ACGGCUUGUCGAACAACUAGCCUAAGGUAAGCAAAUAAAGUUUUAGAUUUUCACUAAAUUGUCUUGCCAUUUCGUGGUACUCACCAAUUCGGGGUAUUUCCCAAAAACGUCAUAUCUCGCGACAGUUCAUGUGUACUGCGCCACCUAGCGAACGUUUCUGAAGAGAAAGCGUCCCUGGAUACCGGAGAACAAAAUGUUCAAGAUUGCAUCAAUUAAUACAUGCAUCAGUCAACAAUUUGGUGAGAUGGACUGACAACACUCUUCAGCAGGUGCCAAACCACAAAACGAAUAUGGAUGUAUCAAAUGUCAUUCUGUCAAUGUGCAGGUGAGUUAACCUAUACCAUCAGACUGACGAAGUAUUGAAUGAAAAAUGAACAAGAAAUAAGAAUGACCAGUGACCAUGACAUCAAAAAACCCCAAGUGACAGCUUGUUCACAACACAGAGAGGAUGUUUGUCAUGGAACAGAAUCAAUUCUUUUUCAAUUCUUUAUUAAAAAUAGAUGUUAAUGUGCGUUGGUGAUUUGUACACACAGAGUUGCAUAUUUGAAGGUCACGGUCAAGGUGAGUUAACCUAUACCAUCAGACUGACGAAGUAUUGAAUGAAAAAUAAACAAGAAAUAAGAAUGACCAGUGACCAUGACAUCAAAAAACCCCAAGUGACAGCUUGUUCACAACACAGAGAGGAUGUUUGUCAUGGAACAGAAUCAAUUCUUUUUCAAUUCUUUAUUAAAAAUAGAUGUUAA
rnacentral:lncRNA from 1 species